GACAGAGGGUGCAAACGUUGUUCGGAUUUACUGGGCGUAAAGCGCGUGUAGGCGGCUUUGCAAGUCGGAUGUGAAAUCCCACGGCUCAACCGUGGAAGUGCAUCCGAAACUGCAUCGCUGGAGUCUCGGAGAGGAAGGUGGAAUGCUUGGUGUAGAGGUGAAAUUCGUAGAUAUCAAGCAGAACACCUGCGGCGAAGGCGGCUCACUGGACUGGUAUUGACGCUGAGGUGCGAAAGCGUGGGGAGCAAACAGG
rnacentral:rRNA from 1 species